ACAAAAAAACACCAGGAGAAGAAGAAGCAGAAGAACACUGUCGGGGAGAUGCGAAAAAACACAUAGAAGGAGUUUGAUGCAGGUUGUUUUGGUUGUUUGAUCUUACCAAUCCUGAGCUUCAGAACCCCUUGUCAAGUUGUGAAGAUUCUGUACAUACCUGACCCAGUAGGAGAAGACUGGUGUAUUCAUAACUGGAUCGCUUCACCUCCUGCAACUAAACUAAAUGAUCCCGCCUAGUCGAGUGCUUCAUGGAUUUUUCUGUCCCUGCAUUUUUUUCUUGUGCCAUAUCUGGAGGAGUGUGGAAACUCUUAAGUCGCGACGCCUUCGACUGAUUGUCCCUGCUCUAUUCUCCAACUCCAAGCCCAGCCUUCCAAAGAACUCUCCAAGCUGAACUCACUGGAUUAUUCACCUGCCUGUCCACCCUCCGAUGUCCCUCUCAAAUCACAGCGGAGCUACUCCGUGGAAAAGAGAAAACACUAAGCUAGAAAUGACUGUAAAUGAUCCGCUCACUGCCUGCCAGCAACAGACACCGUGGAGAAAGAUUUAUCUCACCCUGCCUUGCUCAGACUCCCUUCCCAAACGAUUACAGUCCGACCCGCUGACCAAAUCCUGGUUCCUGCUCAUUCACAACUCAGGGAUUAAAAUAAACUGUUUAAAAAUGU